ACUUUUGUAAUACACUCCAUGUCCCAAAUUACUAUUCAUUUUGAUUUUGACUUUUUAAGAUACAUAGAUUUUGUUAUUCAUGUAAUUGUAUGCUAUGUUUAGAUACGUAGCAAAAGAUAUGUAUUUAGAAAAAUUAAAAUAAAUAAUAAUUUGGGACGAAAGGAGUACUACUAGUACAAUUAUCCUGGAAUAAAGUCGGGC
rnacentral:lncRNA from 1 species